UGAUGUGAGGGCAAUCUGGUUGCAACGUUUGUCACUCCACUAGUUGCUAGGGUUGGUUCAGCCAAAUUGGUUGGGUAACUGGGUAUCCCCUUCCUUCUCCACUCUAUGUGUGUCCCUCCUAAAAGCUCUGCCCUCGGUUAAACAGGACAUCUUUCCCCAAUAGAGGAGGGCCAUUCUUUGGUCUGGGAUAUAGGAGUAGCUGUGUUCUCCUGCUAGAACCUCCAAAUAGCUCUUAAGAGGAAACAGUGUGACCUGCACCUGUGGGUGGCUGGGAACAGAUUUAUGGGGCCUAGGAGGGCAGCCCCCU
rnacentral:snRNA from 1 species